ensembl:misc_RNA
CUCAAUUUUGCUGUGAACCUAAAACUGCUCCCCCAAACAAGUUAAUUCCUUUAAAAAAAGAAUGAAAAAGGAACUGAGAAUUCUUCUCUCCAACAAAAGGUAAAAUGACAAGGAGUAUCAGGCUGAACUCCCUUCCGGAAAUGAAAGAAAUCAC